CCUACGGGAGGCAGCAGUGAGGAAUAUUGGUCAAUGGACGAGAGUCUGAACCAGCCAAGUAGCGUGAAGGAUGACUGCCCUAUGGGUUGUAAACUUCUUUUAUAUGGGAAUAAAACAGGGUAUGCAUACCCUCUUGUAUGUACCAUAUGAAUAAGGAUCGGCUAACUCCGUGCCAGCAGCCGCGGUAAUACGGAGGAUCCGAGCGUUAUCCGGAUUUAUUGGGUUUAAAGGGAGCAUAGGUGGAUUGUUAAGUCAGUGGUGAAAGUUUGCGGCUCAACCGUAAAAUUGCAGUUGAAACUGGCAGUCUGGAGUACAGUAGAGGCGGGCGGAAUGCGUGGUGUAGCGGUGAAAUGCUUAGAUAUCACGAAGAACUCCGAUUGCGAAGGCAGCUCACUGGACUGCAACUGACACUGAUGCUCGAAAGUGUGGGUAUCAAACAGGAUUAGAUACCCUAGUAGUC
rnacentral:rRNA from 1 species